rnacentral:misc_RNA from 1 species
UUUCCGUAGGUGAACCUGCGGAAGGAUCAUUAACGAUAAGUGUUUUAUGGCACUUUUUAAACAAUCCUUAACCACCUUGUGUCCAACGUUAUGAAACCCUCUAUCUUUAUCUUUUAGGUUACGGAAGAGGGAACCUCUACAACCUACCAACAUCUCCUUUAACUUAUUUUUUUGUACAUUUGUUAUCACUAAUGAACUUAAUUCGAAAAUACAACUUUCAACAACGGAUCUCUUGGCUCUC